rnacentral:tRNA from 1 species
CCCUGGUUAGCCCAGUUGGUAGAGCGCUCCACUUGUAAUGGAGAGGUCCCAGGUUCGAUACCCGGACCAGGCG